rnacentral:sRNA from 1 species
ACUUUCUCUGAAUAGAAAAGGACCACCUUCCCCAAACAGAAGAGGACCAGUCUUUGGUCAAGAGCACAUGAGUAGCUGUGCUCCCCUGCUAGAACUUCCAAACAUGUUCUCAAGAAAAUAGUGAUCAAAAAUUGGC